CUGUGCUAGGCGGGGAGUUAGCGGUGCCCUGAACCCGCAAUCCGCUACAGCGGGGCCGAAUACCCAUAAUGAGACUUUAUUCCAAGGCGGACGCUCUUGAGGCGCGGAUGUUGACAGCCGGGUCCUGUGCGUCGGACGCUGGCAAAACCCCGUCAGAGCCGGAAGGCAGCAGCGGUAUGCUGGCCGGACGAGCGCCGCAGGGGCUCCCGGCUUGAGUCUGUCCCUCAUCUCGCUGCCGCUGCCGGAAGGGUCGAAUAUGGGGCACAG
rnacentral:SRP_RNA from 1 species